rnacentral:rRNA from 1 species
CCGGCUAACUACGUGCCAGCAGCCGCGGUAAUACGUAGGGUGCAAGCGUUAAUCGGAAUUACUGGGCGUAAAGCGUGCGCAGGCGGUUAUGUAAGACAGGUGUGAAAUCCCCGGGCUUAACCUGGGAAUGGCAUUUGUGACUGCAUAGCUAGAGUGUGUCAGAGGGGGGUAGAAUUCCACGUGUAGCAGUGAAAUGCGUAGAGAUGUGGAGGAAUACCGAUGGCGAAGGCAGCCCCCUGGGAUAACACUGACGCUCAUGCACGAAAGCGUGGGGAGCAAACAGGAUUAGAUACCCUGGUAGUCCACGCCCUAAACGAUGUCUACUAGUUGUCGGGUCUUAAUUGACUUGGUAACGCAGCUAACGCGUGAAGUAGACCGCCUGGGGAGUACGGUCGCAAGAUUAAAACUCAAAGGAAUUGACGGGGACCCGCACAAGCGGUGGAUGAUGUGGAUUAAUUCGAUGCAACGCGAAAAACCUUACCUACCCUUGACAUGUACAGAAUCCCGAAGAGAUUUGGGAGUGUUCGAAAGAAAACUGUAACACAGGUGCUGCAUGGCUGUCGUCAGCUCGUGUCGUGAGAUGUUGGGUUAAGUCCCGCAACGAGCGCAACCCUUGUCAUUAGUUGCUACGAAAGGGCACUCUAAUGAGACUGCCGGUGACAAACCGGAGGAAGGUGGGGAUGACGUCAAGUCCUCAUGGCCCUUAUGGGUAGGGCUUCACACGUCAUACAAUGGUACAUACAGAGGGCCGCCAACCCGCGAGGGGGAGCUAAUCCCAGAAAGUGUAUCGUAGUCCGGAUUGUAGUCUGCAACUCGACUACAUGAAGUUGGAAUCGCUAGUAAUCGCGGAUCAGCAUGUCGCGGUGAAUACGUUCCCGGGUCUUGUACACACCGCCCGUCACACCAUGGGAGCGGGUUUUACCAGAAGU